AGGAAGUGUCUUCUUUCCCCUAGAUCUCCGCACGGGGAUCAGUUGUUAAGUUAGUCUGAAUCUUCAUCCUGGAACACUUACACAUCUUUACAUCCAGAUGAGAAGCUUUCAAUUAGAAUCGCCACCACGUACGAUAAAUCAGCAGCUUGAGUUUAACCCAAAACCAAUGUUGAUGAUGCCAUCAAGAUACUGACUGGAUCCACCGAGGUUAUCUCCUCCAAUCCUUAGAUUCCUGCUUCAGGUCAAUCAAUCAACGAGAUGAUUAUCUAGCAAGGAACAAAGGUCAAGGAUAUCUCUUAAAGAUGAGAUUUGAGUUCAGAGAAUUGGAUGCAUCGGCAAUUGUGGCGAACGUUUCGAUAAACGUACCAAGAAGGAUCAGAUUAUUAAAAGAAAAUUCCCUGGUACUGAAGAAAAAGAAGACAUGCAAUGGCCCAUCUGACACUUUUAUCAGAAUCAAAGGACAGGAUACAACCGUUAAACUCAUUAUCAAAAAGUCCAAAUGGAAGAGCAUUCCCCUGCCUUCAGACAUGGACAAAAAGCAGAACAGAUUCCCUGUCAGGGGAGGGCUGUUCUUUCCCCAAAAUGGAGGGUCUCGUCUGCUUAAUUAAAAAUUUGGACUUGGGAGUUUGCCAGAAGAAACUCAUCGACCAAGCCAGGGAACUGGCCCUUUGACGGGGCCUUGCUCUCCUGAGAAGUUGCUCUGACCACUGAAAGCGACAGUAGAGUGGAAAUCCGAUCCCCAGAAUACCGGCUACCGAUUGGCCCAGGCCGAGGGCUGAGGAGAGUCACUUCUCAGAAAGAAAUCCCUCAGUCAAGAAACACUGGGGGGGCGGGGGGAUUCAUUUCCCUGCUGCCCUUUCCCAGAUCAAAAGCCAACGCUGUCCAUGCUUUCUUGGUAGGAGUACAUGGCAGUGAUUCAACCCUCCAAGCAAAGUCACAAGAAAUGUAAUUAAAAAAAUAUUCAAUUCUC